GCAAUUGAGGUUCACAGCAAAAUUGAGAGGAAGGAACAGAGAUUGUCCAUAAAACCACUGAUUGUGCAUGUGUGUAGAUCCUGGGAGGCUAUCAACAUCUUCAACCAGAGCUGUACAUUUAUUACAAUUGAUGAGCCUGCAUUGGCAUAUCAUCACCCAAAGUUGACAAUUUACAUUAGGAUUCACUCUUGGUGUUGUAUAUUCUAUGGAUUUGGACAAAGGUGGCUGUACUACUUUGUCUUCCUAGAGACAUUUCUAAUAAUGUUGCUUCACAUCAUUGACAACAUUCGAUGUUGCCAGUCUUCUGAAUUUUGGCCAUUCUAACAGCCAAUGACAGGCGCCAUCUCAGCAGUGUCUGGGCCCACAAUGCCAAGAAAGCUUAUGGCAGUAAAUAAGAUGGCAGCUGUGACAGUCCUGACAGCUGGCUGGAGCUCAGGGUGGCAGGCUGAACUGGACUGUGAGCAGUUGGAGUAGCAGUGAGGUAUGACCAGCAUUACUGGUAGGCAGAUGUCAGUUUCCACACUACUAGUUACAACAUGAUGUGAUGGACACAGUCACAUCAUUACAGAGACAGACAGAACUUUAAACAAAU
rnacentral:lncRNA from 1 species